rnacentral:misc_RNA from 1 species
AACGCACGAGACCUGCGGACCUGCGGAGGGAUCAUUACAAGUGACCCCGGUCUAACCACCGGGAUGUUCAUAACCCUUUGUUGUCCGACUCUGUUGCCUCCGGGGCGACCCUGCCUUCGGGCGGGGGCUCCGGGUGGACACUUCAAACUCUUGCGUAACUUUGCAGUCUGAGUAAACUUAAUUAAUAAAUUAAAACUUUUAGCAAUGGAUCUCU